GUGCUUGCUUCUUCAGCACAUAUACUAAAAUUGGAACUAUAUAGCAAUUAGCAUGGCCCCUGCACAAGAAUGACACGCAAAUUCAUGAAGCAUUCCAUAUUUUU
rnacentral:snRNA from 1 species